rfam:Felis catus isolate Cinnamon breed Abyssinian chromosome D2, whole genome shotgun sequence.
GCCUGGGUGGCUCAGUCGGUUAAGCAUCUGACUUCGGCUCAGGUCACGAUCUCACAGCUCGUGGGUUCCAGCCCCGCGUUGGGCU